AUUGAACGCUGGCGGCAUGCCUUACACAUGCAAGUCGAACGGUAACGGGCCUUCGGGUGCCGACGAGUGGCGAACGGGUGAGUAAUACAUCGGAACGUGCCCGAUCGUGGGGGAUAACGAGGCGAAAGCUUUGCUAAUACCGCAUACGAUCUACGGAUGAAAGCAGGGGACCGCAAGGCCUUGCGCGGACGGAGCGGCCGAUGGCAGAUUAGGUAGUUGGUGGGAUAAAAGCUUACCAAGCCGACGAUCUGUAGCUGGUCUGAGAGGAUGAUCAGCCACACUGGGACUGAGACACGGCCCAGACUCCUACGGGAGGCAGCAGUGGGGAAUUUUGGACAAUGGGCGCAAGCCUGAUCCAGUCAUGCCGCGUGCAGGAUGAAGGCCUUCGGGUUGUAAACUGCUUUUGUACGGAACGAAAAGCCUUCUUUUAAUACAGGAGGGUCAUGACGGUACCGUAAGAAUAAGCACCGGCUAACUACGUG
rnacentral:rRNA from 1 species